rnacentral:rRNA from 1 species
UGGGGAAUUUUGGACAAUGGGCGAAAGCCUGAUCCAGCAAUGCCGCGUGUGUGAAGAAGGCCUUCGGGUUGUAAAGCACUUUUGUCCGGAAAGAAAUCCUUGGCUCUAAUACAGUCGGGGGAUGACGGUACCGGAAGAAUAAGCACCGGCUAACUACGUGCCAGCAGCCGCGGUAAUACGUAGGGUGCAAGCGUUAAUCGGAAUUACUGGGCGUAAAGCGUGCGCAGGCGGUUUGCUAAGACCGAUGUGAAAUCCCGGGCUCAACCUGGGAACUGCAUUGGUGACUGGCAGGCUAGAGUAUGGCAGAGGGGGGUAGAAUUCCACGUGUAGCAGUGAAAUGCGUAGAGAUGUGGAGGAAUACCGAUGGCGAAGGCAGCCCCUGGGCCAAUACUGACGCUCAUGCACGAAAGCGUGGGGAGCAAACAGGAUUAGAUACCCUGGUAGUCCACGCCCUAAACGAUGUCAACUAGUUGUUGGGGAUUCAUUUCCUUAGUAACGUAGCUAACGCGUGAAGUUGACCGCCUGGGGAGUACGGUCGCAAGAUU